CGAACGAUGAAACCCUUCGGGGUGGAUUACUGGCGAACGGGUGAGUAACACGUGGGCAAUCUGCCCUUCACUCUCUUAUAACCCCUGGAAACGGGGUCUAAUACCGGAUAACACUUCUUCGGGCAUCUGAAGAGGUUAAAAGCUCCGGCGGUGAAGGAUGAGCCCGCGGCCUAUCAGCUUGUUGGUGGGGUAAUGGCCUACCAAGGCGACGACGGGUAGCCGGCCUGAGAGGGCGACCGGCCACACUGGGACUGAGACACGGCCCAGACUCCUACGGGAGGCAGCAGUGGGGAAUAUUGCACAAUGGGCGAAAGCCUGAUGCAGCGACGCCGCGUGAGGGAUGACGGCCUUCGGGUUGUAAACCUCUUUCAGCAGGGAAGAAGCGAAAGUGACGGUACCUGCAGAAGAAGCGCCGGCUAACUACGUGCCAGCAGCCGCGGUAAUACGUAGGGCGCAAGCGUUGUCCGGAAUUAUUGGGCGUAAAGAGCUCGUAGGCGGCUUGUCGCGUCGGAUGUGAAAGCCCGGGGCUUAACCCCGGGUCUGCAUUCGAUACGGGCAGGCUAGAGUGUGGUAGGGGAGAUCGGAAUUCCUGGUGUAGCGGUGAAAUGCGCAGAUAUCAGGAGGAACACCGGUGGCGAAGGCGGAUCUCUGGGCCAUUACUGACGCUGAGGAGCGAAAGCGUGGGGAGCGAACAGGAUUAGAUACCCUGGGUAGUCCACGCCGUAAACGUUGGGAACUAGGUGUUGGCGACAUUCCACGUCGUCGGUGCCGCAGCUAACGCAUUAAGUUCCCCGCCUGGGGAGUACGGCCGCAAGGCUAAAACUCAAAGGAAUUGACGGGGGCCCGGACAAGCAGCGGAGCAUGUGGCUUAAUUCGACGCAAC
rnacentral:rRNA from 1 species